UCUUGUCUCUUAGAGUUGUGUUCUGAAAAGAGAGAAAAGAAAAGAGACAAGAUGAAAAAAAAAAGAAAAAAAAAUACAGAAAAAUGAGAAAAAUUAAAAAAAAAUUGUUUUGUGAAUAAUGAAGUCAAGAAGAGGAUUGAAUUAGAGGUUUUGGGUGUGUUUGAAUGUGUUUACACUUGUUCCCCAUUGCUCCUCUAUUUCUUUUGGUUUAUANCUUCUCAUCCANAUGUUAUCCUCCCUUAUCUUUGGCCC
rnacentral:lncRNA from 1 species